GACGAACGCUGGCGGCGUGCUUAACACAUGCAAGUCGAACGGAAAGGCCCUGCUUUUGUGGGGUGCUCGAGUGGCGAACGGGUGAGUAACACGGGAGUAACCUGCCCUUGACUUUGGGAUAACUUCAGGAAACUGGGGCUAAUACCGGAUAGGAGCUCCUGCUGCAUGGUGGGGGUUGGAAAGUUUCGGCGGUUGGGGAUGGACUCGCGGCUUAUCAGCUUGUGGGGGGGGUAGUGGCUUACCAAGGCUUUGACGGGUAGCCGGCCUGAGAGGGUGACCGGGCGGAAGUGGAAUUGGUUGCGGACGAGACUCGCACGGGAGGCAGCAGGGGGGAGUGCGGGACGACGGGCGGGAGCUUGAGGCCGCCACCCCGCGUGGCGGAUGACGGACCGAGGGUUGGGAACGACGGACGCCAGGGAAGAAGCUUUUCGUGACGGUACCUAGAGAAGAGGCACCGGCUAACUACGUG
rnacentral:rRNA from 1 species